UACGUAGGAGGCAAGCGUUAUCCGGAAUGACUGGGCGUAAAGGGUGCGUAGGUGGUUUGAUAAGUUAGUAGCGCAACUCCGAAGCUCAACUUCGGAACUACUACUAAAACUGUCGGACUUGAGUGCAGAAGGGGCAACCGGAAUUCCUAGUGUAGCGGUGGAAUGCGUAGAUAUUAGGAGGAACACCAGUGGCGAAGGCGGGUUGCUAGGCUGUAACUGACACUGAGGCACGAAAGCGUGGGGAGCAAACAGG
rnacentral:rRNA from 1 species